rnacentral:lncRNA from 1 species
CUCCAGAGUAACUGCUGACGCUGUUGGGGAACAGAGGACCUGGCCUCCUGAAGAAGCACCAACAGGCCCUCUGCUUCAAGUUGUAGGUGUGAACAAAUCCAGACCACUAAGAGGUGUCUUGAAGUUUUGACGCCCUCCAGUCCUCCUUGAAUUUGGGUAUGGAUCCUAAGAUUUGCUCCAGUACCUCUGCAGCCAGCACCCAGAGCAGCUAAUGAAAGGAUUCAAGCCGGACGUUCAGGGAUAAGGAGAGACGGCUACAAUGAUACUUCAAAUUGGUAUGUAUCAGGUAACCCAAAGGAAACACCCGGCCCAAUUCAGCAUUGAAUGCAUGUUAGCCAGACAAGAGUGUGUAAGUUUUUUGACCCAGGUUUCCAGAGCCUUUCCUAAGGGAUAUAGUCAGCACAGACCACUAUUAUCCAGAUUAUGGGCUUUUGAGUACUUCCACAUUCAGGAUAUUCUGAGAAUGCCUAACCACAUACAAUCGAUCACAGAAAUUGCAAUCUCUUUUGAUCCUGAGGAAGUCAGUUCUUUCUGCUAACUACACAGCAGCAGCCCGG